AUUGAACGCUGGCGGCAGGCCUAACACAUGCAAGUCGAGCGAGAAAGUCUUCGGAUGAGUAGAGCGGCGGACGGGUGAGUAACGCGUAGGAAUUUGACCAGUAGUGGGGGAUAACGUUUCGAAAGGAACGCUAAUACCGCAUACGCCCUAAGGGGGAAAGCGGGGGAUCUUCGGACCUCGCGCUAUUGGAGGAGCCUGCGUAGGAUUAGCUAGUUGGUAGGGUAAAGGCCUACCAAGGCGACGAUCCUUAGCUGGUCUGAGAGGAUGAUCAGCCACACUGGGACUGAGACACGGCCCAGACUCCUACGGGAGGCUG
rnacentral:rRNA from 1 species